UACGGAGGGUGCAAGCGUUAUCCGGAUUUACUGGGGUUAAAGGGUGUGUAGGCGGAUUUUUAAGUCAGAGGUGAAAUCUCCAGGCUCAACCUGGAAACUGCCCUUGAUACUAUUAGUCUUGAAUAUUGAUGAGGUGGGCGGAACGGGUCAUGUAGCGGUGAAAUGCUUAGAGAUGACCCGGAACACCAAUUGCGAAGGCAGCUCACUGGGCAAUUAUUGACGCUGAGGCACGAAAGCGUGGGGAGCAAACAGG
rnacentral:rRNA from 1 species